UACGGAGGGUGCAAGCGUUGCUCGGAAUUAUUGGGCGUAAAGGGCAGGUAGGUGGUCUCAUUUGUCUGGGGUGAAAUCCUUGAGCUUAACUCAAGAACUGCCCUAGAAACGGUGAGACUGGAGUGCUGGAGAGGGUCGUGGAAUUCCCGGUGUAGCGGUGAAAUGCGUAGAGAUCGGGAGGAACACCAGAGGCGAAGGCGGGUCUCUGGGCCGAUACUGACGCUGAGGAGCGAAAGCGUGGGGAGCGAACAGG
rnacentral:rRNA from 1 species